GAAAUGCGAUAAGUAAUGUGAAUUGCAGAAUUCAGUGAAUCAUCGAAUCUUUGAACGCACAUUGCGCCCGUCAGCAUUCUGGCGGGCAUGCCUGUUCGAGCGUCAUUUCAACCCUCAGGACCCCCCUUUCGCGGGGAGGGACCUGGCGUUGGGGAUCGGCCCGCCCCCCGCGGCGGCGCCGUCCCCGAAAUCUAGUGGCGGUCUCGCUGCAGCCUCCCCUGCGUAGUAGUUACAACCUCGCAUCGGAGCGCGGCGCGGCCACGCCGUAAAACCCCCGACUUUCUGAACGUUGACCUCGGAUCAGGUAGGAUUACCCGCUGAACUUAAGC
rnacentral:misc_RNA from 1 species